rnacentral:lncRNA from 1 species
ACUUCUUUAACCAAAUUGAAAAGAUUAACCUAAUACAAUAUAUAUUAACCUAACUGUAUUGUACUAGUAAUUCAACAAAAAAGGAGGCCUACGCUGGGCCUAUGAGUUGCAAGAUAAAUAUAAAAGAUCAAAAAUAGAGUGUUCAACAGCAUGAUCGCCUAGGCUGCAAAACUAUGGUUUGGUUUGUAUAGCGUACAAUGUAGAUAAAGGAUCCUUGCUGUCAGAUCGCUACGAAGAACCAUAAAUCAUACUCAACCAAUAAUCAAGUGAGAAAUACUAAAAAAAUUCUAAGGUAAGAAAAUGUGGUAUAGAAAUGGAAGAUUUGUACCUCUUUCUUUAAUUUAAGCUCACGGUGGUUCACAAUCGUCUCUUGCACUGUAAAUGCAGAUAUCCCCAUGUGGCAGAUAAACAACACCAGAUAAAAUUGGGUGUAGCAGAGCCUUGAGCAAGAUUCUGAAUUGGGUGUAGCAAAAAUUUCAAUACAAUUUUUUUUUUAAAAACGAUAUUAAACUGAUCGAACAAGCUAUUAAGAUCGGUUAUAUCAGAAUUAAUAUUCAAAACCCUCAAACUCCUCAAGUCCUCCCUAAAAUAAAUAAAUAAAAUGAGAUUUUUUUUUUAAAAGCUAAAAAAAAUAAUGAGAUUUGGACAGCAAAAACAAUGAUGUGAGAUGCAGGGGUGGGCAGAGCCAAGGUUUAGCGGCUUCUCAACUAAAUUCUUAUACACAUAUUUAAUAAUUUUGAAUCGCAGGAUUUACAUUCACUGCACACAGAUUUAAAGAUUGAAAUUUAGGGUUUUAUAAACCACUCACGUUAUAUUUGGAAUCUAGAAAUCCGAUGCCCAGAUGCUCGGAAUGAUCUUGAUCGAUGGUAUCCGUCCGGCGAUGAACACGUUGAGGAGGUGAGGAAGAAAUCGAGUAAGAGAAAUGGAGGGAAGCUGGAAUAUUGGUAGGAGGAAGGCUGGAAUCGAUGGAUGAAAUUAGGGUUUUGAGAAUUUAGGGAUUUAAGAUUUUAUGGGAUUUGAAAAUAAAGUUAAAAUCAUUUAGGGGGGUUUCUAAAAAUAAUCAC